AAGACCAGCAGCAAGUUGCCAAUAGAUUUAAGACUCUAAAGAGACUACAACAAUUACAUGAAACAUAAAUACAGCAUAACAUGAAGAGGAUGACAUGAGCUUGAGUUGCUUAGUGAUUCUUCAAGUCAUUCUUCGCCAUUUGCACUUCGGUUCCUUCAGCUUUACUGCCACCUGCACAUAGAUCCAAUCACAAGUCCUGUCGAUCAACUGGAACAGAGCAAUCCUGAUGCCAUGUCUCAGAUGUUAUCUUUAAACAAUAACCUUAUUUCUGGACAACACCAAAUGGUCAUUCAUGAAUCAAAACACUAGAACACAAAUACAUGAAGUCUACAUAGACAGUCUUAGCACUUAGCCACAGUUCAAUUGAUUCUUCGUCAUUAUUUUGGGCUUCAGCUUUCAGCUGCACAUAUCUGCAUCCAGCCAUAGAUGUUGUCAAUUUGUUGGAAGAGAGUAAUCCUUAAUCCUUGCUUCACGAUCAGUACGCCGAUAGAAACCCCAGAAACAACUAUGAAUCCCACGACAACGCUAGUAACAUCUAAUAUUAUUGUUUCAAGCAUAUCUCCAUCAUCAUCUUCUUCUAGUUUGACUCCUGCAUCAGCUGAACUGGCGGCAAUCUGCUUUUUAUUAUAGAAACCCCAAAAUAGCAGCAAAUCGGGAACUUAUAUAAAGCAUUCUGGUAACACCUAAAACAAAGUUCUGCGAGUCCUGCAAAAUAUGAUUUCCAGGAAAAAGGAACAAUAUAUAUAUAUAUAUAUAUACUCUCAUGUUAUGAAUACGAAAACAAACGCACAUAACAUUAAAUGUUGAUUAAUGAAAAAAAACACUUAAUCAAGAAACAUAGAAUAUCUCUUAAGAUAAUUAUAUAAUCAAAAGAUCUCAAGCUUUAGCACCCAAAUGAUAGGAAUAAGCAGUCUAGAGUGGAUUGAUAUGAAUUUAUAAAAUUUAUUUAUUAAUAAUAAUUCACUUUUAGGAAAAAAAUAGAUGGACAUGUAUUUUAUCUUUACAGAAAAAAAAUGUUCUCUGGUAGAAAAUGAAGAGUGAGUCUCAUACUAUAUGAAUUUGAAGGAGGAUCAAAAUAUACAAUCUCAUCUAAGAAAACAAUGAUUUGUCGCUGAAAUAAGAUAUUGAUUUCGGUCAAACACUAAGAGCAUGUCCACCAUAGUGUAUACAAUUUUAUUGUCUAAUUGUCUCUCUAUAUUGUGAUUGUCAUUAUCUUUAUCUAAUUUGAGCAUAAUAAUAUAUUGUAAGAACAAUAACCGAAGAACACAAUCUCCACUCUCAAACAUUGAUUAAAUAUAGGUAGAUUAACUAUUUCGUUAGCAAACAGAGUACGUAUGACAUACACUCUUGCAAUUAAUCUUUUUAGUUGUCAGAUAUGUAUGUAUCAAUCCAUAAGCGAAGGCUGGGCGAUAGCAAAGUGAUGAUAGAUGGAGAUGUUAUGAUACUAGAACCAAUACAUGUAAUGCAUACAGAGAAUCUAUGAUGCUUAUUUCAGCUUAAUCAUGACAGCAUAAUAUGAUAACAUCAUUACAUGCUAACACAAGAUUUUGAUGCGAUUAACUACGAAGGACAACAUGACAUUAAGGUCUAAUAGAAGAGGUGGCACACUCGAGCGCUUAC
rnacentral:lncRNA from 1 species